rnacentral:snRNA from 1 species
ACCACUCUCUUUGCCAUUUUGGCUUAGAUCAAGUGUAGUAUCUGUUCUUUUCAGUUUAAUCGCUGGAAUAUCUCUAAGGAGAUUUUUACGAUUAUCUUAUUAUUGGAAAUCGCUGGUUCCAGUGCUGCUUGCAGCCCUUUUACCGGCACAGGUGUCCUCGCAGCUGCACUUUUUGCCUGUGACGCCGAGCCUCU